UGGGGAAUAUUGGACAAUGGGCGAAAGCCUGAUCCAGCCAUGCCGCGUGUGUGAAGAAGGUCUUCGGAUUGUAAAGCACUUUAAGUUGGGAGGAAGGGCAGUAAGUUAAUACCUUGCUGCUUUGACGUUACCGACAGAAUAAGCACCGGCUAACUCUGUGCCAGCAGCCGCGGUAAUACAGAGGGUGCAAUCGUUAAUCGGAAUUACUGGGCGUAAAGCGCGCGUAGGUGGUUUGUUAAGUUGGAUGUGAAAGCCCCGGGCUCAACCUGGGAACUGCAUCCAAAACUGGCAAGCUAGAGUACGGUAGAGGGUGGUGGAAUUUCCUGUGUAGCGGUGAAAUGCGUAGAUAUAGGAAGGAACACCAGUGGCGAAGGCGACCACCUGGACUGAUACUGACACUGAGGUGCGAAAGCGUGGGGAGCAAACA
rnacentral:rRNA from 1 species